ACAAAGGCUCUUUUAAGAGCCACACACUAUCUCUAAGAGUCAAUUU
rnacentral:ncRNA from 1 species